rnacentral:rRNA from 1 species
UACAGAGGGUGCAAGCAUUGUCCGGAUUUAUUGGGCGUAAAGCGUUUCGUAGGCGGAUUUGCAAGUUAUUUUUCAAAGACCAGGGCUCAACCCUGGAAAGGGGAAUAAUACUAACAAGUCUUGAAUUGUAUCGGGGUUUUCGGAACUUGCGGUGUAGGGGUGAAAUCCGUUGAUAUCGCAAGGAACACCAAGGGCGAGGCAGAAAACUAGGUACUAAUUAACGCUGAGGAACGACAGCUAGGGGAGCGAAAGGG